CGGGGGGGGGCAAGCGUUGUUCGGAAUUACUGGGCGUAAAGGGCUCGUAGGCGGCCAACUAAGUCGGAUGUGAAAUCCCCCAGGCUCAACCUGGGAACCGCAUCCGAUACUGGAUGGCUUGAAUUCGGGAGAGGGAUGCAGAAUUCCAGGUGUAGCGGUGAAAUGCGUAGAUAUCUGGAGGAAUACCGGUGGCGAAGGCGGCAUCCUGGACCGAGAUUGACGCUGAGGAGCGAAAGCCAGGGGAGCAAACGGGAUUAGAUACCCCGGUAGUCCCGGCCCUAAACGAUGAAUGCUUGGUGUGACGGGUAUCGAUCCCUGUCGUGCCGAAGCUAACGCAUUAAGCAUUCCGCCUGGGGAGUACGGUCGCAAGGCUG
rnacentral:rRNA from 1 species